rnacentral:lncRNA from 1 species
CUGCAACUGCUUUUGGGAAUGGAUUCCUUCCAAGCUGGGGCAGGUUGGCCGGGCUGGGGGAGGCCCCAGGGCCCAUGGCAGUGUGUCACAGGGCCCUUUGUGACACGGUGGCCGUCGCCCAGGGGAUGGGCCGGUGUCCUUUGUGACCCGUGGGGAUAAAGGUGUCGGCGGCAACGCGGCCACGCCACCGUGCUCGGAGCGGGCGACUGGGCAGGACGGGACAGAGCGGUGCUGUGAGGAGCCUCCUCGCAGCCAACUCCUUUCUCGUCGACCAGGAGCGUUUCUGAGAGUUCUUUUUCGAACAACUUCCCUCGAGGCCACAGCACAGGAGUUGGGGACCCGGAGCGUUUCUGAGGUGACCCCACUCCCUGUGGGAGUGGCCCUCGAGGCCAGGCCACGGGCCUUGGUGUCCCGGAGCUUUUCCGAGGAGUCACCAGUGGCUGUGGCAGCGGCCCUUGAGGCCAUUUUGUGAGACUUUGCCACCAGGGGCUGUUCCAAGCCAUCAGCAGCCCCUGUGGCAGUGGCCCUCGAGGCCAUUUGUUGAGACUUUGCCACCAGGGGCUUUUCCAAGCCAUCCCCAGUCCCUGUGGCAGGAGCCCCGCAGGCCAUUGAGUCACACUUGGCCGCCAGGGGUUUUUCCCAGGUUUCUCCCCCGCAGGUGCCCUCCAGACCAGACUGUGCCAUGGCGGGGGGAUGCUUCGGCCUGUGCCGGCUGCUCCGGAGGAAGAGGAAGAACAGGAGAGGCCCUGGAGCUGGCCCAGCACAGGAACCGGAGGAGGAGGUGCAGCACUUCCAGCCACUGCAGCAGGAUCCAGGCCGGGACCGCCCAGAAGAGCAGGACCGCGCCCGUGGCCGCUUGCACAGGGCAGUUCAGAGGUUGCUGAAAUUCAUUGGAGUUCGGCGCAGAACAGCCACGACCGCACCGCCCGAGCUCCCGGCACAGCCUGACACCAGCGCAGCCGAGCUCGAGGCGGAGCCGGAUGUCAGCACUGCACCGAGGGACUGUGCAGCCAGCGGUGACAUGGCACCAACUCAUGUCACAGCCACCUCUGACACGGCACUGACGGAUGGCACAGCCACUUUUGACACGGCACUGACCGACGCUGAGACAAGCUCUGACACGGCACCAACUGAUGUCGGGGCCAAGGCUGACGCCACAACUGAGAGCAUCGCAGACACCGACUGCCUGCCCAUGGACAGUGUCACUGAUGCUCCCAGUCUGGACAUUUGGGAAGAGAAAACUGUCUCCAAUGUGAAUGAAGUAAGCAGCCUGUGGCCAGGGCUCGAGCUCCCCAGGGGUCUUGCGGCCCCUCAAGCCGGCUCUGCUGGGCCCCCAGAGCCUUUGAGGCCAGCACAGUGUGGUGGGAAGGGAAGCCCUUCCUGCGGCAAGCUGGGCAAACUGCUGGCUCUGGCAGCUCUCCAAGUGUCUCCCACUCCCCUCCAGGUGCCAGCCAUUGUCAGAUCCAUCCACCAGUGGCUCACGUGCCGGGUGUCUCCAGAGGUCAGGCCGCCCAUUGCCAUCCGCAGGCUGGCCCACGCACACCCUGGGCACGUGGUGACGACUCUCCUGCACUGUGCCCCAGCGUGUGACAGAGCUGCUGCAAUCCUGUGGAGGACCAUCGCCUCCUCGGCCACCACAGCGCACGAGGUGCUGCCAACGCUGCUCGGGGUGAUGGAGGACUGGCCACUGCACAGCGUGUGCACCUCCAACGGGGACCACGUGGACGUCUUUGCCCUGGCUGCAACCCUGGCCCUGUGGCUGAUGGUCCAGGAGCUCCAGUGCCAAGAUGCACUGUUCGUUUAUGCCCCUCGUCUCCUCCUGGCUCUGCUCUGCCAAGUUUCUAUGAGCACUGAGCAGAUGCCACAGGAGGUCAGCACCUUCUGGAGGGGAUGCCAGGAGCUACACGGCCUUCCUACCCACCCCAACAGCUUUGUGGUGCAGACCAUCCGGGCCCUGCUCUGCCGGCUGCAGUGGGACCAGGAGCUGGUGUCAGUGGAGCGCAAGCGUGGCUGGGACGCGCUCCUCUCUGCUGACACCCACCACUACGCGGUGGGGCUGCUGGCCAGGGAGAUGCGCCACGUGUUGGUCCCCUCCUAUGGCCCGCUGGCAAGGCACCUGCUGGGGCUGCUCAGCACGGAGGGGCCCCGCUGGGAGCUGCCUGCCCUGGCCUUCCUUGUCGAGGUGAGCCCGAUGGCCAGCGCUGCCUGGCCCCGCUGCCUCCCCCUCUCUGCCCUCUCACAGCCGCAGCUGCCCGGGACGGUGCCUGCGCCCUGUGCUGCUGCCUGGGCCCAGCCCUGGCCGGCUCCGCGCUCCUGCCGCCCGCCCACCCUGGCACUGCUCUCUGCCUUCCAGGUCCUCGACUAUCUGGAUGUGAACACCCGUCAUGACAGUGUCCUGCAGAUCCUGGCAAGGCACCUGCAGAGCCAGUGCCCAGAGAGGCGGCGCCUGGCUCUGCGAGGGCUCCUGGUGCUGAGCGUGGAUCCCUCCAUGGUGAGAAGGGGGCAGGGGCUGAAGCCACACGGGCAGCCUGGGCUGGGGAGGGCAGUGGCUUGGCCUUGGCUGGGCUUCGGGAGCUGUGGCAGCUGCUCCCAGCUCUCCUGCCUCCCUCUCCAGCUGCCCAGGCCCUGUGGGACAGGCCUUUGGCCUCUGGGCCCCAGGGCAGCAGCGUGGGUUUGCACUGCCAGAGUGGGGUUGGUGGGGCAGCUCUUCAGGGCUUCCCAGCACAGCCUUCUGUUCCCCACAGGCCAAAAGCAUCUGCAGCCUGUCUGAGCCCUUCCUGGAGCUGCUGCGUGAUAGAGAUGGAGAGCUGGUCAGGAUGACCCUCUCCCUGUUCCUGAAUGUGCUCCAGGAUGAGGAAGACAGGAAGGGACUCAGCUCCACUGCCCCGAGGAUGACUGAGGCGCUCCGGCCAGUCUUUGACAACGUAAGGCUCUGUGCCCCCAGCCACAGGCACUGGGUGCUGCCAGGAAACUUGGUAGAGUUUCAGGGCUGGGCCUGGAGGGCCUGCAGCAGGCAGUGCUGAGGUCUUUGCCUCUUCUUUGGCCCCAGGACAACAGCCACGUGCAGCUGCUGUCCAUUCGCCUCUUCCGAGAGGUGAUGGAGGUGCUGGCGGAAGAGGGAACAGAGCCCUGGGAGAUGCAGGUGCGCCAGAGCCUGGUCCCACUGUUCUUCCGCUGGCACGACGAGAACCAGCGCGUGGCAGAGGUGAGCACUGCUGGGCUCUGGUGUCCCCGGGGCAGGGGCUGGGCUGCCUCCUGCCCUGGGGCCUCAAGGGCUCAGGCCUCCUGCUGCCCUUGGAGCAGGGACACAGGGGCUGUGCCCUGGGCUGCGCUGCCAUGUCCCGCUCUCUGCUGCUCUGCAGGCCGCUCGGGAAGCGCUGCUCUGGGCUGCAAGCUUCCUCCACAGGAAGGACCUGGAGCAGCUGCUGAAGACAGAGCAGCCCUUCAGAUUCUGUGACUACCUGGUAAGGAUGAGUGCAAAGGCCCAGCCCCAGGCUGGAGAAGCCCCCAGUGCCCAGUGUGCCGGGUUGGCCCUGUGCCCCUGCCCACUGCUGCAACCACAGACACCCCCGUACUCUCUGCAGAUGGAAAAGGACAGGAGCCGAAGGGGCGAGCACCUGCAGCAGGCCCUGCCCUACCUGCAGAGCCCACAGGAGCCCCUGCGAGAGGCGGCCGUCAGGUUCAUGGGUGAGCCCCAAGGCCGCGGUCCCUCCCCGCCCCGCUGCAGCUCGGCCCCAGCCCCGGCUGCUGCAGCGGCAGCAGGAUGGGCC